ACCCUGACCCCGCAAAGGUAGCAUAAUCACUUGCCCCUUAAUUAGGGGCUGGCAUGAAAGGACACACAAAAAGCUUCCCUGUCUCACAAUAACAAAUAAAAAUUAAUCUUCAAGUGAAAAAGCUUGAAUCAAACUGCAGGACAAGAAGACCCCGUUGAGCUUUAUUCUCUAUAGACUAAAUCAAAUAUUAAAUACAUCAUAAACCUAAAAAGAAUUUAGUUGGGGUGACUAAGGAACACCGAAUACUUCCUUUUAUUAAUUAGGAUCAUUCUCCGUACAAAUUGACCCAUUACACAUGAUCAAAAAAAUAAGCUACCACAGGGAUAACAGGCUAAUCUUUCUCAAGAGCCCAAAUUGUCAGAAAGGAUUGGCACCUCGAUGUUGGCUUAGGGGCCCCUAAUGGUGCAGAAGCCAUAAAAGGUAGGUUUGUUCAACCUUUAAAACCCUACGUGAUCUGAGUUCAAACCGGAUUU
rnacentral:rRNA from 1 species